rnacentral:rRNA from 1 species
GAUGAACGCUGGCGGCGUGCCUAAUACAUGCAAGUCGAGCGGACAGACGCGGCUCUUGCUCCGCUGACGUUAGCGGCGUGCGUGUGAGUCACACGUGUAUACCCUCCCUAUCAGACUGAGAUCACUUCGGGAAACCGGAUCUAAUACCGGAUCAUAUCUUGAACCGCGUGGUUCAAUAGAGAAAGACGGUUUUGCUGGCACUAAUAGCUGGAUCCCGGCCGGAUUAGCUAGUUGGUACGGUAGCGGCCUACCAAGGCUAGGAUGCGUAGCCGACCUGAGAGAGUGAUAGGCCACACUGGAACUGAGACACGGCCAAGACUCCUACGGGAGGCAGCAGUAGGGAAUCGUCGGCAAUGGGCGAAAGCCUGACGGAGCAACGCCGCGUGUGUGAUGAAAGUCUUCGGAUCGUAAAGCUCUGUUAUUAGGGAAGAACAGCUGUGGAAGUAAACAUGGCCGUCUUGACGGUACCUAAUCAGAAAGCACCGGCUAACUACGUG